GGGCGCUGAUUUUGCAUGGACUUGUUCACAUUAAUAGCCAUUUUACAAUUAUCCUCUGAAGUCGAACAGUUUUUUUCCAAGGUCGGUACAGCGUAUGGAAUCAAGUUUUUUCUGAUGUAGGAAACAAAACCCACCGGAAAUUUAGAUAGAAGAUUGCUAACAAAUGAUGGAUUUGCAGAUUUCAUUUAUUAAUUUGCACCAGUACAUGCUGGAUGCAUUAAUUGUUAAUUACACCAUUCAAAUCUAUGGUGGGCAGCAGCACAUAUAGGUCUCCUGAGCAUUUGUAGGUGUUUUACAGAAUGCCCUAUAGGUUCUGAUUCCGUUAUACUGGCAAACAAACACGCAGCUGCGGCCGUCCUUACAGCGGUGAGUCGGAGGCUCGAAGCAAGGUGGCCCACGCGAAGACAAGCCUGCACAUGCAACAAUACAACGGAAUGCAAAUAUAUUCGCAUUAAAACAAGACUGGUUGGUAAAAUAAUAAAUGAUCAUAUGAAAAUGUCUAAAAAUAUGGCAGUGCACAGCAUAUCAAAGUAUGAAGGUAUGGGUGCCUACCGGCUUGACAGUGUAUAGAGUUGGAAGUACUCAUCACAAGAACCACCAACGAAGUAGCCAUCAAGUAGUGCACAAUCCUUGCCAUGCUGCUGUUGUUUCCUUUAGUUUUGGCAAGGCAGAGAAGACGUGAUGAUCGAUGUAUUGCUUGUUGCCUAAUCUAUUUCAGUGUGUUUAGGUACAUUUAUAGAGGAACC
rnacentral:lncRNA from 1 species